rnacentral:rRNA from 1 species
UACAGAGGUCUCAAGCGUUGUUCGGAUUCACUGGGCGUAAAGGGUGCGUAGGUGGUGAGGUAAGUCGGAUGUGAAAGCUCGGAGCUCAACUCCGAAAUGGCAUUGGAAACUACCUUGCUCGAGGGUUGGAGGGGGGACUGGAAUGCUUGGUGUAGCAGUGAAAUGCGUAGAUAUCAAGCGGAACACCAGUGGCGGAGGCGAGUCCCUGGACAACUCCUGACACUGAGGCACGAAAGCUAGGGGAGCAAACAGG